rnacentral:rRNA from 1 species
UACGGAGGAUCCAAGCGUUAUCCGGAUUUAUUGGGUUUAAAGGGUGCGUAGGUGGCCUAUUAAGUCAGGGGUGAAAGACGGUAGCUUAACUAUCGCAGUGCCUUUGAUACUGUAGGACUUGAGUACAGACGAGGUAGGCGGAAUUGACGGUGUAGCGGUGAAAUGCUUAGAUAUGACAUAGAACACCAAUUGCGAAGGCAGCUUGCUACACGGAUAUUGACUCUGAGGCACGAAAGCGUGGGGAUCAAACAGG